AGUGAACGCUGGCGGUAGGCCUAACACAUGCAAGUCGAACGGCAGCACAGUAAGAGCUUGCUCUUACGGGUGGCGAGUGGCGGACGGGUGAGGAAUACAUCGGAAUCUACUUUUUCGUGGGGGAUAACGUAGGGAAACUUACGCUAAUACCGCAUACGACCUACGGGUGAAAGCAGGGGAUCUUCGGAACUUGCGCGAUUGAAUGAGCCGAUGUCGGAUUAGCUAGUUGGCGGGGUAAAGGCCCACCAAGGCGACGAUCCGUAGCUGGUCUGAGAGGAUGUGCGGCCACCCGGGAACGGAGACACGGCCCGGACGCCGAGGGGGGGAGGCGGAGGGGAAUUUUGGACAAGGGGGGAAGUCCGGCCGCGGACAGCCGGGUGGGGGGAGGAAGGUUUCGGGGUGUAAAGGUCUGUUGUUUGGGAAAGAAAAGUGUGAGGGUAAAACCUCGCCGCUCUGACGGUAUCUUAAGAGUAAGCAACGGCUAACUUCGUG
rnacentral:rRNA from 1 species